rnacentral:rRNA from 1 species
UUGAUCCUGGCUCAUGAUGAACGCUAGCGGCAGGCUUAAUACAUGCAAGUCGAACGGAAACAGGCGGUAGCAAUACUGCGCUGUCGAGUGGCGCACGGGUGCGUAACACGUAUGCAACCUACCCUUAACUGGGGAAUAACCCUGUGAAAGCGGGGCUAAUACCCCAUAAUAUUAUGGUAAGGCAUCUUACUAUUAUCAAAGAUUUAUCGGUUAGGGAUGGGCAUGCGCCCCAUUAGUUAGUUGGUUAGGUAACGGCUAACCAAGACUGUGAUGGGUAGGGGUUCUGAGAGGAUUAUCCCCCACACUGGUACUGAGACACGGACCAGACUCCUACGGGAGGCAGCAGUAAGGAAUAUUGGGCAAUGGACGCAAGUCUGACCCAGCCAUGCCGCGUGCAGGAUGACGGCCUUAUGGGUUGUAAACUGCUUUUGUAUGGGAUUAAAGUGUUGUACGUGUACGACAUUGCAAGUACCAUACGAAUAAGCAUCGGCUAACUCCGUGCCAGCAGCCGCGGUAAUACGGAGGAUGCAAGCGUUAUCCGGAAUCAUUGGGUUUAAAGGGUGCGUAGGUUGAUUAUUAAGUCAGUGGUGAAAAUUCCGGGCUCAACCCGGGACUUGCCGUUGAAACUGAUAAUCUUGAGUGUAACUGAUGUGGGCGGAAUGUGUCAAGUAGCGGUGAAAUGCAUAGAUAUGACACAGAACACCGAUAGCGAAGGCAGCUCACAAAAUUACAACUGACACUGAGGCACGAAAGCGUGGGUAUCAAACAGGAUUAGAUACCCUGGUAGUCCACGCUGUAAACGAUGAUCACUAGCUGUUUGCG